rnacentral:rRNA from 1 species
CCUACGGGAGGCAGCAGUGAGGAAUAUUGGUCAAUGGACGAGAGUCUGAACCAGCCAAGUAGCGUGAAGGAUGACUGCCCUAUGGGUGGUAAACUUCUUUUAUAUGGGAAUAGAAUGUUCCGCGUGUGGGGUUUUAUAUGUACCCUAUGAAUAAGGAUCGGCUAACUCCGUGCCAGCAGCCGCGGUAAUACGGAGGAUCCGAUCGUUAUCCGGAUUUAUUGGGUUUAAAGGGAGCGUAGGUGGGUUGUUAAGUCAGUUGUGAAAGUUUGCGGCUCAACCGUAAAAUUGCAGUUGAAACUGGCAGUCUGGAGUACAGUAGAGGUGGGCGGAAUUCGUGGUGUAGCGGUGAAAUGCUUAGAUAUCACGAAGAACUCCGAUUGCGAAGGCAGUUCACUGGACUGCAACUGACACUGAGGCUCGAAAGUGUGGGUAUCAAACAGGAUUAGAUACCCUAGUAGUC